rnacentral:lncRNA from 1 species
UUUUUUUUUUUUUUUUUACAAUUUAAAACAUAAAGCUGUUUUCAGAGGCUGCUGAGGCCUCACAACUCCAAAGGGCCUCAGUCACGCCAGGGGCUGUGUGAAGGGCGCCUCCUGGAGGUGGGCAGGGUACAACUUGCUCAGUUGUAAGUUAUGAAUGGUGACUCCAAAAACGAGGGUCUGCUCCACAUGCCGACAAAGUCCUGUUGCCUUUUCCUUGUGAUCAGCUAUGUACAGUGAUGCCUUCAAGUCCCCUUGAAGCAUCCUGACACCCUGGCCCUGCCCUCAGCUGGUGCAGCAGCAAAGAAGCCUCCCCUCUACACUGUUUCCUCCAACUGGUGGAAGAGGCAGGUAGUGCGCCCUUGGGGCAGCAGCCCGUGAACUGUGUUCUGCAGAUUUGGGGGGAGUAUUUGAAAAAAGGAUUCUGUAAUCAAGGAUGGUAAGAAAACCUCGCAUGCUGUACUCUCUCCCCAAGAAUCCCAACCCCAAACACCAUGUUGGCUUGUUGUUGGGGAUACUGAUGGAGGGGUCUCACAGUACAGGUGCCAGCCUUGUGCAAGGCCACUCUCCGGCUUGGUGGCACUAAGUGGGGACAUGCUGGAGCUGCAGCCACACAGUCUUUCCUCUCAUGAGAAUUCCUCUCUGGAGAAGUCAGAAGUGACUUCUUCCCUGUGGAAAAUCAUGGUUAAGAACCUUACUGAUCUUUUAUUUAUAGGAUAAUAUUUUAGAUACGGAAGCCAAGCCCUCUCCUUUGAGCUUUCUUGUUCGAGUCUAGACAAGAGGGACUUACAUCCCACUUCCCGUGACUUUGGUGUAUUCCCAGCUGUGGGUGUGGGGAGGAUCGCCCUGCCCGGCCUCAGAGUCCCUGAGAUGGAGCGUCUGAAUUUCGACCCUCCUGCAGAUGGCUGUGUGCUUGUUUUCAAAAUGCUGGUAUCUUCCAUCAGCAGAUUGUGAGAUGAGGGGAGUGUGUCACAUGUUUAUUGGGACAAGUGGGUGCAAAUAGAAAAAUCAGUGUAUCAAAUACAAUAGGGCUGGAGUUCCCGUCGUGGCGCAGUGGUUAACGAAUCCGACUAGGAACCAUGAGGAACUCCGAAAACAGUAUCUUUUAAUUGGUGAGGACAAGCAAUUUUGUGUCGUUUAUUUUCAUCUAAUAAAAUGUGAAUUCUGUUUAAAAAACAAAACAAAAAAGCAGAACUGCAGGGUAACUGUCUACAGUACUCAGGUCCCUCUGAGUGGGCUGGGCAGGACGCAUGCGCCGACCAAGAACGUUCAACUUCAGCCACACAAGUGAUGAUGUAAAUCUGAGUACAUUACACCUGAGUUGGUGUGUCUAUCUGCUACUUCCUAAGUCUGAAGAUACCAGCAUCACUUCCCCUUUGUCCUCAAGGCACAAUGAACUAAAGACCCUCAAAUUGAACAUCCCCACCCCUGUUUUGUUUUUUGCUUUUUAGGGCUGCACCUGGGUGUGGCAUAUGCAGGCACCCAGGCUAGGGGUCGAAUCGGAGCUGUAGUCACUGGCCUACACCACAGCCAUAGCAACACAGGAUCUGAGCUAUGUCUGUGACCUAUACCACAGCUCACGGCAACACCAGAUCCUUAACCCACUGAGUGAGGCCAGGGAUCAAACCUGCAUCCUCUUGGGUACUAGUUGGGUUCUUAACCUGCUGAGCCACAACAGGAACUCCUGAACAUUCUUUUUGACUUAAAUAAAUCUGUACUCCAGAGGAGCUCCCUAGUGGCUCAGAGGGUUAAAGAUCUAGCAGUUGUCACUGUCGAUCUAUGGGUUCAAUCCCUGGCCCAGGAGAGUCCUCAUGCCAUGGGCAUGGCCAAAAAAUAAAAAAUAAAAAAUAAAUGAAAUUUAAAAAUUUUGUAUUCCAUAAAGGACAGAAAGCAAUUUUUUAAUAAAAAUGCCCAAAAUAAGAUAAACAUUAAAGAAAUGGAGAGAGUCCAAACUAGGAAAAACCAGUGUAGGUAAAAUAAGAUCAUACCAGAGAGAAAGUGAGGAGAAGACUCAUGUCCUGGUGUUUGGUUAGGGAGGUCACAUGGCUUACAGGAGAUGGGAGAAUUUAUCCUGUGGGGACUCCAAGAUGACAUCCGAUAAGCUAGAAAACUAUGUCUUCAACAAUAAUCAGCACUGAGGGUUAUAGGGCUUUUUCUCAUAAGGCCAAGGAGAAAAGUUAUCCCACACUCAGAAAAUGAUAAAAGGUGAUUACUUGAUUAUUUUUUGCAAUGUAUUUUCUAUUAUUAGAAAAUAAUAUGGCUGCUUGAGUAAAAGCAAGACCUUGUCAAAUAAGAUUCUUACACGAUACUCGGGGUAUAUAAGUUUGUUGGCACAGUGUUUUUUUCUUAAUUAAUAACACAACUGAUAAAAAGUAGUGACAAUAGCCUAUGAGGUGAGAGGUUACCUUACAAAAACUGAAAGUAUUAGGAUUUCAUAGCCUGGUAGAAAAGUUACCCCAAGGUGUUACAGUGUAAUCAGCCUGAAGGGAGUUAAUCCUGGCAUAUGGUGUGGAGGGGUUCAGAACAGGCUUUUCCGGAAUGUGCCACUUUGACCUAUUAUUUUGAACUGAAGGCUAUCAAGACCCAGCAGACUCAGCUUUGAAAAGCUUUUUAACUCCUUCUUUACUGCCUAAAAAAAAAAUUAGAAAGGAGGCCUGUACCAGGAAGAGCCAUUAGCUGAGAUCACUUUUUCUUCUGAGGCUCCUUUGCAUGGUGGGCAAACAUUGUUCACCAAACACCCGCUCUUCUCACCUUCCUGUGAAAGGCCUUCGGCCCGGUGAAGGCCCAGACCCCAGUCCCUUUCCUCAGCUCAGGGUGGUACCUGAGCCUCAGGUGUCUGGCUGCCUUUGGAGUCUCCUUUCUUUGCGGGCUCCCCUUAUGUAGUAGUUACAAUGGUGUGUUUUUGUCUCGUUAAUCUGUUUUUUGUUGCAGAGGGGGUCUCAGCCACAAACUUAGGAGGGUCGAGGGAAAACUGCUUUUCCUCGCCUACAGUACGAGCAGUUGACUUAGACAGUCCUUUCUUCCUCUCUCCGCUAAACGCCAAGAGCCCCAUUCCUUAGACACACUCUGCACUGGGAGCAUUGCCAUCAUUGGAGGUUCCCUGAUUCUAAGUUAAAUGAGAGGAGUUGACUGAGUUGUACUGGAAAACAGACACCCUUGUUCAUUUACAUAUUGUCUGCUUUUGCGACAUAUGACAGAGGCCUAAUGGCUCGCAAAGCCUAAAAUAUUUACUAGCUGGGCCUUUACAGAAAAAGUGUGUCAAUCCCUGAAAAUAAAACUCUGAUUUCUGCUCUUUGAAAAUGUUGGGGUUUUUUGGCUACGCCUAUAGCACACGGAGGUUCCAGGCCAGGGAUCAAACCUGUGCCGCAGUGGUGACCAAGCUGCUGCAGUUACAAUGCUGGAUCCUUAACCCGCUGCACUGUAAGAGAACUUCCAAAAUGCUGCUUUUCACUAUCAGCUAAUGUUGGUAGAUGAUGUGAUACCAAAAAGAACCUGAGGGAUGCAGCUCCACAGAGCGCCUAAGUAUUGCUGCUAAAUAAAUACCAGACACUUGUAUUUGGGACAAGGGGUGGGACGCAGGGAUGUGGGUUCUAACACAGCUUCUAGCGGACCCUCAUGCAUACAUGAGUUUAAGACCCACAGGGCCCUCUGGUCUAGCCUGGUGGUUCCGUACAGAUUCUGCCCCAGUAGGUCUGAAAUGGGGCCCAAGAUUUUGCAUUUCUAACAAGCUCCUGAAUGAUGCUGAUGGUGCCAGUCUAAGGGCCUUAGUUUCCUUACCUGUAAAAGGGAGAUCAUAAAAAAUCUGUAUCAUAGGGCUGCUGUAUUAAAUGAGGUAAUAGGAGUUCCCGUCGUGGCGCAGUGGUUAACGAAUCCGACUAGGAACCAUGAGGUUUCGGGUUCGGUCCCUGCCCUUGCUCAGUGGGUUAAGGAUCCGGCGUUGCCGUGAGCUGUGGUGUAGGUUGCAGACGCGGCUCAGAUGCUGCGUUGCUGUGGCUCUGGCAUAGGCUGGUGGCUACAGCUCCGAUUGGACCCCUAGCCUGGGAACCUCCAUAUGCCGCGGGAGCGGCCCAAGAAAUGCCAAAAAGACCAAAAAAAAAAAAAAAAUGAGGUAAUAAACAUUUAUAUUCUGCUCCUACGCCCUCAAUUUGGGUCUGUUUGAGCAAGGUACUCAGUGUCUUGAUUCCCAUGAGUAGGCGUAAUAAUAAAAACAUCCACAAGGUUUCUAAAAGGACGAAGUGAGAUAACAUAUGUAAAGUAGCUAGAAUGGAGCCAGAGACUUAGUAAAUGCUCAACGCUGGAACAUUAUUAUUAUUGCCAUUUUCACUAUUACGUAAGCUGACUGAUCCAAGCAGUUAUGCCAUCAGCAUCAGUGCCGUCUCUAUCUCCCUCUUACCUGUCCUCUCGUCCUCAUCCCUCCCUCCAGCCCCUCGCAUGUCUAAUUAGAGAACCUCUUCAGGAUGCUGAUUCAAAAAUGCCCAAACCCUGUCCAGAAGGUGAACACAAACGGGGACCCAGAAGGAGCUUGGACGUGGACCAAAAUCACAACUAACUGCAGAUCAACCAUUGCUAAAAAAGACUUGGCGUUCCCACCAUGGUGCAGUGGGUUAAGAAUCUGAGUGCAACAGUUCAGGUUGCUGCAGAGGCAUGUUUUGAUCCCUGGCCCAGUGCAGUGGGUUAAAGGAUCCAGAGUUGCUGCAGCUGCAGCUUAGAUUCAAUCCCUGGCCUGAGAGCUUCCAUAUGCCACGGAUGUGGCCAUUAAAAAGGGGGGGGGGGAGUUUCCCUUGUGGCCUAGUGGUAACGAACACAACUAGUAUCCAUGAGGAUGUGGGUUCAAUCCCUGGUCCCGCUCAGUGGGUUAAGGAUCUGGCACUGCCAUGAGCAACAGUUUAGGUCACAGAUGAGGCUUGGAUUUGCUGUGGCUGUGGCAUAGGCGGGCAGCUACAGCUCCAAUUUGACCUCUAGCCUGGGAACUUCCAUAUGCUGCAGGUGUGGCCCUUUAAAAAAAAAAAAAAAAAAAA